GACGAACGCUGGCGGCGUGCUUAACACAUGCAAGUCGAACGGAAAGGCCCUGCUUUUGUGGGGUGCUCGAGUGGCGAACGGGUGAGUAACACGUGAGUAACCUGCCCUUGACUUUGGGAUAACUUCAGGAAACUGGGGCUAAUACCGGAUAGGAGCUCCUGCUACAUGGUGGGGGUUGGAAAGUUUCGGCGGUUGGGGAUGGACUCGCGGCUUACCAGCUUGUUGGUGGGGUAGUGGCUUACCAAGGCUUUGACGGGUAGCCGGCCUGAGAGGGUGACCGGCCACAUUGGGACUGAGAUACGGCCCAGACUCCUACGGGAGGCAGCAGUGGGGAAUAUUGCACAAUGGGUGGAAGCCUGAUGCAGCAACGCCGCGUGCGGGAUGACGGCCUUCGGGUUGUAAACCGCUUUCGCCUGUGACGAAGCGUGAGUGACGGUAAUGGGUAAAGAAGCACCGGCUAACUACGUG
rnacentral:rRNA from 1 species